UACGGAGGGUGCAAACGUUGCUCGGAAUCAUUGGGCGUAAAGCGCGCGUAGGCGGACCUGCAAGUCGGGGGUGAAAGCCCGAGGCUCAACCUCGGAACUGCCUUCGAUACUGCGGGUCUCGAGUCCGGGAGAGGUGAGUGGAAUUCCUAGUGUAGAGGUGAAAUUCGUAGAUAUUAGGAAGAACACCAGUGGCGAAGGCGGCUCACUGGCCCGGUACUGACGCUGAGGCGCGAAAGCGUGGGGAGCAAACAGG
rnacentral:rRNA from 1 species